rnacentral:lncRNA from 1 species
CAGUCACCAAGCCCCGCUACAUGCAGUGGAGGGAAACCAUGAGCUCCACCUCUACCCUGGGCUUCCGGAUCGAGGGCAUCAAGAGGCAGAUGGGACCUGUAACACCAACUUCAAGAAGACGCAGGCACUGGAGCAGGUGACAAAAGUGCUGGAGGACUUCGUGGAUGGAGACCACGUCAUCCUGAAAAGUACGUGGCAUGCCUAGAAGAACUUCGUGAAGCUCUGGAGAUCUCCCCCUUCUUCAAGACCCACGAGUGGUAGGCAGCUCCCUCCUCUUCGUGCACGACCACACCGGCCUGGCCAAGGUCUGGAUGAUAGACUUCGGCAAGACGGUGGCCUUGCCCGACCACCAGACGCUCAGCCACAGGCUGCCCUGGGCUGAGGGCAACCGUGAGGACGGCUACCUC